UACGUAGGGACCGAGCGUUGUCCGGAUUUAUUGGGCGUAAAGAGCGUGUAGGCGGCCAGGUAGGUCGGUUGUGAAAACUGGAGGCUCAACCUCCAGACGUCGACCGAAACCAUCUGGCUAGAGUCCGGAAGAGGAGAGUGGAAUUCCUGGUGUAGCGGUGAAAUGCGCAGAUAUCAGGAAGAACACCCGUGGCGAAAGCGGCUCUCUGGGACGGUACUGACGCUGAGACGCGAAAGCGUGGGGAGCGAACAGG
rnacentral:rRNA from 1 species